rnacentral:rRNA from 1 species
GUGCCAGCCGCCGCGGUAAUACGGAGGGGGCUAGCGUUGUUCGGAAUUACUGGGCGUAAAGCGCGCGUAGGCGGCUUAGCAAGUUGGGGGUGAAAUCCCGGGGCUUAACCUCGGAACUGCCUCCAAAACUGCUGAGCUAGAAUCCUGGAGAGGUGAGUGGAAUUCCUAGUGUAGAGGUGAAAUUCGUAGAUAUUAGGAAGAACACCAGUGGCGAAGGCGGCUCACUGGACAGGUAUUGACGCUAAGGUGCGAAAGCGUGGGGAGCGAACAGGAUUAGAUACCCUGGUAGUCCACGCCGUAAACGAUGAGUGCUAGAUGUUGGGCAGCUUGCUGUUCAGUGUCGCAGCUAACGCGUUAAGCACUCCGCCUGGGGAGUACGGUCGCAAGAUUAAAACUUAAAUGAAUUGACGGGG